AUUUAUAUAGUUUAGCUUAAAACAUUUCAUUUUCAAUGAAAAAAUGAGCAUUUUAGCUCUAUAAAUA
rnacentral:tRNA from 1 species